UGCCUUAAGAACCCAGAGACGUUUCCCAGUG
rnacentral:piRNA from 1 species